UCUACACAACUGAAGUGGACAGCCGUGUGUGCGUCACUGAUUUCUACAGGACAUGUAAAAGCCAGAGCUGGAAGACCCUCCUGAUCUCCCGUUUGGGAACACUUUGGCUGUGCAAUACAACAAUGGAGGACGAAAGUUUGCCGAGAUUGUUCAGCAGCUGCUUCUGACAACACAUCAAACAUGUGUUGCAUCUUUCCUGCUUCCGGCUCCCAAACCGUAGUCCAAGAGCGCAGUGGAGACACUACUCCAGGGCUGAUGUAUUCACGGGGGCAACACCCUUCACUCUACCCGGCAGUGGGUCUCCACAGCUCCGGAACCAGGCUGGCAUCGUGGCGAAGUUGCGUUCUCUCAAUGAUGCAAUGCGGAAGGGACACAGCAUAAAAGGUAAGAAAAGAUUUAUUUGUGACUACAAAUAAAUUACUAUGACAACAGAAACUAAAUAUGAAUUGCCACCAGGAACUAAGGACGUCUAAUAACAAACAGGCUGUGAUAACAAAACAGAAAAGCCGAACAUGCCAUGAUCAAAGUAGUGGAUCAUGACAUAAGCCCCUCAAGGGACAGAUCCCAGAUCUCCCAAAAAUUCUUGCUUGAACCCCCCCACACAAUAAAGUCCAAUCAUGAAGGGAGGACACGGUGGAGGGUCGCCAGGUCACGUGUCCCCAAAUCCACCGUGGACAAGUCAGGUGGCGGUGGCGGGUGGAACGCCGCUGCCGCCAAAGUCAUGGAGGGCGACCUCGUAGAGGCCACACUCGUUGCCGACGUGGGGGAGGAAGCGCCCGGCGAGGAGGACGACCUGGGCACGGCCACGGAUGUGGCCGACGUUGAGGUGGAUGUAUCGGCGCUAUUGUGAUGGCGGGCUUGGAAGCUGUAGGCAAAGACGUCACUGGUGUCGCAGCCAAAGCAGGUGGCGUCGUCGUGGAGACAGGCCCUGGAACAGCAGACGAAGCCAGCGCUGGAGCUUAGAGCGUCAACCAAGCAGCAGGAACUGGUUCUGACGCCAGCCGAGGUGCAGGCACUGGUGCCAGCCGAGGAGCAGGCACAGGUGCCAGCCGAGGAGCAGGCACUUGUGCCAGCCGAGGAGCAGGCACUGGUGUCAGCGGAAGAGCAGGCACUGGUACCAGCCGAGGAGCAGGUGCUGGAGUGGGAACAAGCAUUGAGUCCGGUGCUGGAGUGGGAUCCAGCAUAGUGUCAGGUGCUGGGGUGGGAUCCAGCAAAAAGUCAGGUGCUGGAGUGGGAUCCAGCAUAGUGUCAGGUGCUGGGGUGGGAUCCAGCAAAAAGUCAGGUGCUGGAGUGGGAUCCAGACCUGGACUAGGACUAUGACACGGACUAAGACUUGGACUCAAACUAUGACUAAGACUAGGACCAGGACUCAAACUAUGACUGUGUCUUGGGCUAGGACUGUGGCUAAGACUUGGGCUAGGCCUCGGACCAAGGGUCGGACUAUCUACAGCUAGCCGUGGUGCCGGUGGAGGCGGCCUAGGAGGUGGUAGCAGUUUAGCUAACCAGAAUACCUGUGGAGGAGGACGCGGCGUGGUGGGACAAAAUACUAGGAGGUAGAGGCUUGGCUGAGCGCAGCUGUGCUACCUCCGCAGCACAGCUACCAGCACUAGCCUCCCCCUCAAGACACGGACGCCAAACGCGUUCCCCGCAGUCUGAAACUACCUCUAGAGGUGGGUAGGGGGGGUGAACAGAAAGAGGUAGACAGGGUGGGAGGAAAAGUCGCUGGGGGAGGAGGCCAAGUCACAAGUGGUGGGGUUUCAGAAAAUAAAGACUUAUUAUUAAGUCCCCUGUGGACGACUGAGGGAGUGCAUGUUCUAAAAAAAAAUCCUCAUCUCCACUCUCCUCUGCAGACGUCAGAGGAGUGACGUCACGGCUGCAGUACCCGUGACUGACAGAUCGGCCGGGGGAGUGAAAAGAGGGACAAAAAAAGCAUUACCAGUGGUAUAGGGUGAGUCCUGGACGGGUUGAAGGUGGCUGUGUCUAUGAAAGCGUGAUGGCGGGGUAAGCGUGUCUCCAUCGCGAGUUGAAGUCUUCCACUGCGACUUUCGCCCUCGCUGACGAGUGCGCGCAGGGCGAGAGGGAACAUCAUCGUGCCAAGAGGAGUCAAGUGGAGCUUGGAGACGUCCAGAUUCCCAAAUCAUCUCUGGCGUGUAGCGAAAUGUCCCUGCUUCCAGCGCUUGGGCUAUCUUCCCCUCCGAUGCGAGAGAACGUCUUUUUGCUCGCAGUGUACUGUGACGCUUUGCUGGCAUCGUGGUGUGGUUGCGCUCUCGUGGAUGCAAGCGGAAUGGAACACAGCGUUGAGGUAGGAAUGUUGAUUUAUUUAUAUACUAAUGAACAAACUAAGAACCAAAAUACUUGCACAAAGGCACUAAAACAAAAACAACUGAACUAACGUGUGAGCUAGAAAAGAACAAAAGACGCUAGCAUGUGAGCUAGGGAAACGAACAAACAAAAUAGCAUGGAAGUUAAGAGUAAGAAAGGUAUUUACCACAAUGUGGGAAUGCGACGUCACCUGUUAUGUAUACAGCAAACUACACUGAGGCCGAAUGGCAAACAAAGGCAGGCUUAAAUACAGGCAGAAAUUAGGAGGCAGGUGCGCGUGACAAACAGAAGGCAGGUGACACAAAUGAGUUACUAUGACAACAGAAACAAAACAAACAGGAUGUGAUAACCAAACAGAAAACCCGAACAUGCCAUGAUCCCAGUAAUGGAUCAUGACCAGAAUCACAAUGCUGGUGGAAUCUCACAUCAAAUGUAUAAAGACCAUUUGAUAUAUAUCUAUAAUAUAUAUAUCUAUAAUAAUGCUGCUUUUGCUCUAACUUCACUGGUUUUCCGAACCUGACCAGACUGAAUCAUUGUUUUAGUUUAGUUCUGUUUCUCCUUGACGGAUUAAAGUAUUAUCCCAAAGAUUACUAUGAAAAAAUACUUUUAACGGAAUUAUUUACACACCUACAAGUCAAAUCUAUGAGGUGUUAAGUAAUCAAUUUCAGAGGAAUAUGGAGUUGACAAAGACAAAUAGGAAGUUUAUUGAAAUGACAGUCUCACAGGUUGAUCACUAAUACACAAAAGUAUUUACAUGAUUGGCAUAUAUUGUGGGUAUGCAUAGUAACUAAGUCAUCCAAGAGUUUUAGGUUAUGCUGAUCUUGGCAGCAGGUAAGGUGGAUUUGUUCAAGUCAUCAAAAUAAGGGUGUGUCAUGGCCUCACGUGCAGAGAUCCUUUUAGAGGGAUUGUAGACCAACAUUUUCUGUAAACAAGAGAAAACAUUACACAUCUACUGAGUACAAUAUAAAUAUUACAGCAAGCCACUACUCAGUGGCCUAGUGGAUAGAGCAGUGGUUCUCAUAUGAGGGUACGCCUACCCUUGGGUGUACUUGAAGGUAUGCCAAGGGUACGCAAGAUUUUUUAUAAAUAUUCUAAAAAUAGCAACAAUUCAAAAAUCCUUUAUAAAUAUAUUUAUUGAAUAAUACUUCAACAAAAUAUGAAUGUAAGUUCAUAAACUGUGAAAAAAAAAUACAACAAUGCGAUGCAAUAGUGUUGACAGCUAGAUUUUUUGUGGACAUGUUCCAUAAAUAUUGAUGUCAAAGAUUGCUUUUUUUGUGAAGAAAUGUUUAGAAUUAAAAUCAUGAAUCCAGAUGGAUCUCUGUUAAAAUCCCCAAAGAGGGCACUUUAAGUUGAUGAUUACUUUUAUGUGUAGAAGUAUUUAUUUUUAAUUGAAUCACUUGUUUAUUUUUCAACAAGUUUUUAAUUAUUUUCAUAUCUUUUUUUUCCCAAAUAGUUCAAGAAAGACCACUACAAAUGAGCAAUAUUUUGCACUGUUAUAACAUUUAAUAAAUCAGAAACCGAUGACAUAGUACUGUAUUUUACUUCUUUACCUCUUUUUUUCAACCAAAAAUGCUUUGCUCUGAUUAGGGGGUACUUGAAUUAAAAAAAAAUGUUCACAGAGGGUACAUCACUGGAAAAUGGUUGAGAACCACUGGGUUAGAGUGUCCGCCCUGAGAUCGGUAGGUUGUGAGUUCAAACCCAAGCCGAGUCAUAACAAAGACUGUAAAAAUGGGACCCCUUUACCUCCCUGCUUGGCACUCAGCAUCAAGGAUUGAAAUUGGGGUUUAAAUCACCCAAAAAUGAUUCCCGGACGUGUCCACCGCUGCUACCCAGUACUCCCCUCACUUCCCGGGGGUGAAAAAGGGGAUGGGUCAAAUGCAGAGGACAAAUUUCACUACACCUAGUGUGUGUGUGACAAUCAUCGGUACUUUAACUAUCUAGGGGUUUGACCAUACAUCAUAUUAAUUAAAACAAUAGAUUGUAUUGACCUUGCAACCACAAGACCAUAUUUGAACUUUACUUUUGAGGAGGAAAGCACUGGGAUAAUAUUCUACAUAAAUGUCACAAUUUUUUCGUGCCUUUUGCUAUAUAGUAGUAGUAUUACCUUUUUCUCUGUUCUUAAAGCCUUUAGCUCUAUUUUUUUUGAUGAGUUUUAUUUAUUUUCUACAAUAUGUCGUGUUCUAAUAAAAACAUAACAUAAAGGAUCCCUGGUUCACACUGAACAUGCAUGCUUUUAUGGACGUCAAGUCAGUGAAGAACCACAACUUUCGUCUACUACCCAGGUUGUUGGUUUCCUUUUUAGACAGAAAAAAUGAUAAUUAAAGAGAGAGGGUGUCUGUAACCGCAGCUGGAACUAACGGAUGUGUUACACUCAUUUUUAUUUAAAAUGUUGGAGAUGAGCUGUACUUUGCAUAACUUGAAACAACAAUAGAAACUUGGAAACCACUUUAUGUUGCUCAAAGACCUUUGAGUGCCGAACUGGAGAGGCCAGACUUGACAGUAAAAUAUAUGUAUGUGGGUAAGGCUAAUACUCUCUCUCUCAUCCAGUUUGUAGUCAGAAGAAAAGAACAAAUUAAAACAUGUUGGGUAAAACAUUCCUCAGCUUCUCCAUAUUUACAUGGGUUAGUCUCCGCAGUGUGGAGGUUGUUUUGGCGCGAAAGCUGAAUUCUAUUUCAGAGUGGUGCAGACUGACAGUGCUGUGGUCGGGUUAUAGUCACAAGUCUGGCUAAGUCUGCUACUUGGUUGGACAUUUGAAAAAUCUUAUAGGCCAACCAAAUAUUUUUUCAAUGAAGGCCUAUUUAUUAGGGUAGAUCCGGUUACAAUAAUCCUACUUCCAGCUUGAUAUGCUGAUUUCAAUGCAUUUAGUUGUUGUUCUCACCUCUGUAUACCAAGGAAAUGUGUCUCUAAAAUGUUCUGUGCUUCGUCUUAUAUAAUGCCGUUUUAAAUCGCACAUGUUCACAACAGCGAUAGUCUCCUGGCAUAUUAAGAUCACAAGUUUUAUGCUCCUUCGAAAGAGAAUAACUGCUAAUUAAUAUGUCCAAUUGUCUUGGAACUGCUGUCGCAGUCUACUUUUCUUUUACCCGCAAAUGUAGAACACGGCAUUUUCAUGAAAUAUACACCCAGAUAGUCUGGAAAGCGUCGAUAUGCGAGCGGCUACAUAAACACAAGUGAAUGCAGCAGUAACUCCUUGAGUGACGCAGUUACAGUCAGUCAGUGUAGCGUUGAUACGGGGACCACCAAUAGGCUGUCUAUUGAUCAAAUGUUGCCAUCUUUUAAAAGUUUGCAGAUUAAGGACUUGAAAUCUGAAAAUAGAUUGUAAGUUGUUUUGCUUUCUUACUGCCAACAGGUUCAGGCCAUUCUCAUCCAGGUUUUUCACCAUUGAUGAAAGGUUUCCAGGUUUCCAUUUUGGGAAAGUGCUUUUGUAGUCGGGUAGGCUUUCUACUUCAGGCCAAAUGUCAUUGCCUGGGGUGCCCAGCGUCCUGCGAAACAAAUGAUUCACAUUUUUAAUGGCCUUGCAUUCCAUUUGAAUAGUUCGUGGAAAAAAACAAACUAAACACUACCUGAAAAUUCUAAACAGCUGGUCUAUUUCAGAGUCCCCAUGGAACAGUGGCUUCUUGGUGGCAAGUUCAGCAAAGAUGGUGCCGGUACUCCAAACAUCAAUCGGAGUUGAAUAUCGGGGCGAACCUAGGAGAACCUCUGGGGCUCGGUACCAAAGGGUUACAACCUGAAAACAUAUACAUAUUGCUGAACCGACCCAGUAUUCAUGUAAGAGGAUCUGAGUUUAGAACGGUCGAGAUGGUAUACUGCAUAUGUCAAGACAACACUGCAACAUCUCCACACAAACUGAAGCUCCUUUUUGGGCGUUUUUGUACACCACCCUGAUAAGUUACUGUAUUCUUAAGUUGCAAACGCUCACCCUGACUACUUAAAAAACACUUCAUGCCAUAGUGGACAAAACUAUCUUUCUGGACUCAUUUGGGUAUGAAACCUUUGUCCAAAUAACAUUUGGAUUGUCCAAGUGGACAGCUGUAUACACAAGUCAAGUCAAGCUUAAAUGUGUCAAUUUCAUAGCAUAGGUUUAUUUGUUGGUUGGCAUCCAUCAGUCCAUGGUGAUGGAAGUGCCUUGAAACGUAAAAAUCAUGUAUAUAAUAUAUUACAGUUUUCAUUGUUUUUCUGUUCUCCCUGUAUAUAAAAAACCUGCCAUCUGUAUGAGGAUGUUAAUAUCCAAAUGUAAGCAGAUGACGCAGGUAUUUAUUCUUGGGGAAAAGACACUGAAAUGGUUGCCAAAAAACUUAUAGCAGCCACUGAGAAGGUUGUAAGAUGGCAACAUGACUCUUGUCUCACAUUAAACAUUAAGAAAACGGCAACAAUGUACUUUGUGAACAAAUAUCAUUGUAUAACAUGUUGGUCCUAAACAAAUAAAGCCACCCAAAGGCCAUUGGAAACUUCGCACACCAAUUACUCAAAAUCCCUGACCGAAAACCACAGCAACACCACCAUUGUUUAGUCCUUAAAAAAUUAUGAAUGUAAAAUUUUGACGACAUUCAAAGAUUUCCAUCUAUACAAAUGACCCUUAAAAUCUUAAAUAACACUGCACCAGCACCACUUAAGCAUUUUGUGUAGUUCAGGUCGCAAGGUAGCAUACCCAGAUGUAAAAACUCUUUAGCCCAAUCAGCCUUUUCAUAUAAAGCGAUAAGGGAAUGGAACCACCUCACAACAGAUCUGAAAAGUCAAACAAAAUAAUCUCUAUUCACAGUAGAACUUAAAAAGUGGUUUUGGACCAAUCAAAGCUGCCCACACGGACACUGAGGUGGGCACUAUGUUUGACCUACAUGACAACUUAGGCCAUAUCCACACAAAGUUUCAAAAACACACAAUUGGGGUUAAAAUGAUCUCCAUCUACACAAGUGUAGUUUCAAAAUUGUCUAUGUCUACACACAAACGCAUACACCUGCUGUCGUGCACAUUUUGUCCAAUCAGAAGCCUGAAAAAAGCAGCAAUAGCUGACUUGGUUCAGCAUCACACCCCUUUUUAUGUUUAUUUGGAUAUACUUGAGACAAACAAUGACAUGUACUGUACAUUAUUUUUAAAGCCAGCCUACACGUACAGAGCCCUGGGAACAUUACUAAAAAGCGAAUGCACGCCUGUGCUGCUGAAACCCAACACUCAUAAAAUGCUAACUUAUUUAGCAACAUGGGGAUGUAUUACAUGUGCAGUGAAGUGUUCAUUAUUUGUAAAUCAGCACGCAAUAACGACCCAAGAAAACCAUUUUGCAUGUUAAAGUGUCUAUUUAAAGCACACAAACGUGCGUGAGCCGCUGCAAAACGUUUGUGGAAUUAUAAAGCAUUUAAAUCAUCGAUACAGUGAUAUAUUACAUGUGUAACGAAGUGUAUAUUGUCUUUAACAUCAGUACACAAGGAGAAUGCUACAUUAUAUUAUUUCGUAGUAGUUUGGUCGCUUAUUACGCGCGAGCCCGGUCGUGCCUGGCUCAAUCUACAAAAAUGAAAACAAGACACAUAAGUUAACUUCAUGAUUUGUCGUUAAACAAGGACUAAAAACAUGAGAUAAUAUUGCACCUUUCUUAUGACACAGCAAAAAGUCUUGCUUGUCAAAAUUGUCCCAUCAAAUGGAAGUUUGACAGUGUUUAUAUCCACAACAUAUGACUGUCAUUAGCGUCAGUGGGAGUGUUGCAAUGCCCAUUUUGAUGUGUCUUUUUUAUUAAUGUUGGAUGAAAAUAGAAGCAUGUUUACGUUCAAAUGUACCAUAAGUCAUGUUAUAGUGUGUUUAAAGGCAGCAAGGCAGUGUUGUUGAGCUUGGAAAUGACAGCGCACAACCGUGACGUCACAACAAGUCUCUGUUUGUGCCGUGUACAGGCAUACGUUAAGCGGAGAGUUUUGGAUCGCUACACUUUGGCAAGCGUUUGCAGAAGUCUGUGUUUUUAAAGACAAAAGUAUGCGUCUGCGAGUGGACAAGAGGCCUAAACGCAGAGAUAAGUAUGCGUUUAUUAAGUAUCUGUGUUCGUGUGGACAUGGCCUUAAUGUGUAUCAUAUUAAUUUAUGAGAAAUGUUUUAUUAUGAGCUAUGAAAUGUAUCUAUUCAUAAUUAGUGUUGCCAUCACCACAACAGGUUGCCCGUCUCACAGGUCCCUUCCUGGUUAUAGAGGCUGACCUGCAGGCUCGGAGAGACCCACAUGCUGGAACAAUGUCAAGGGGACUUUAAGGACAGUCUUUGAGCGAUCAUCACGGCAACAGCAGUGUCUGCAAUGCCUUCCUCAAAAUGGAGUCUCGCGGGAUGAUUAUACGAGAAAUACGGCUAAUGACAAAAAACACAGUUUGAUGCACCAGAUUAAACACCUACAGGUCGCAAAUAUACUGUGUCGAAAUUUUAAAAAUAUUGCUUUUAUUUUGCAAAAAACUGCAAUGGAAACGCAGCUAUUGUUAGUGAGAAGGCAUUUUCUGACUGUUCUUUUUGAUUACAUGCCAUUGUAUUAGGGCUGGGCGAUAUAUCGAUAAACUCGAUAUAUCGCGGGUUUGUCUCUGUGCGAUAUAGAAAAUGACUAUAUCGUGAUAUACUAGUAUACGUUCUCACGUAGUUGUUUUUAGCUGUGGACAUUAAACUGCAUGCGUUUCUCCCUCUUUCUUGUCUCUCCUUCUCACAGAGAUGUAAAACAAGCGCACCUUCUUACAUACGUCACAUGAGCAACGUCAUACGCGCCCGCGGAGCAGAGAGGUAGCGAUAUCGUAACAUUAGCUGUGAUGCUAGUGGAGUGGUAAGAAUCUGGCAACAAAUGGAGGAAGAAUGAAUGCCCAAGAAAAACAGCACGGGGUCCAUCGUCUGGCGGUGGUUUGGCUUUAAGUGGUAAUAUGUUGAACAUUUAGGCGGCAGAAGCGUUUCUACAAAAAGAAGCACCACUGCUAAUUUGUAGCAUCAUUUGAAAAGUCACCCGCUAGAGAAUGAAGUGUGCUUGAAACUGUGCAUGUCAACAUCUCUGUUCAGUGACACACCCACAAAUGCCGAAGCAACUAUUUCCAGAUCAACACCGUAGGACAUACACUAUUUGAUAUGCAGCGCAUUUUUAUGUGACACUUAUUGAAGUAUCUUGUGUGACAUCAUGCACAAAAGUGCCCUUUAUCUGUUUUUAACUAUUGUAGUGGCGUUCUGUACAGAAAGUACACUUUAAUUUAGUGUUGUUUUGAUAUGUCAUCUUAGUGACAUCAUGUACAAAAGUGCACUCAUAGCUUGUUUUAAAAUGUCUCUGACAAUCUUGCACUUUCUGUUUUGAAAUGACGUGAAUAUUUGUGCCACUGCUUAAUAACUGUUUAAUAAAUACAGUUUUGGUAAA